rnacentral:lncRNA from 1 species
UGUCAGGGUUGUCAGUGAUGUCAGGAGUGUCAGGGUUGUCAGGACUGUCAGGGAUGUCAGGACUAUCAGGGUUGUCAGGAGUGUCAGGGUUGUCAGUGAUGUCAGGAGUGUCAGGGUUGUCAGGACUGUCAGUGAUGUCAGGGAUGUCAGGACUGUCAGGGUUGUCAGUGAUGUCAGGGUUGUCAGGGUUGUCAGGACUGUCAGGGUUGUCAAGACUGUCAGUGAUG